CCUACGGGAGGCAGCAGUGGGGAAUUUUCCGCAAUGGGCGAAAGCCUGACGGAGCAAUACCGCGUGAGGGAAGACUGCCUAUGGGUUGUAAACCUCUUUUUUCAGGGAGGAAUAAAUGACGUGUACCUGAAGAAUAAGCAUCGGCUAACUCCGUGCCAGCAGCCGCGGUAAGACGGAGGAUGCAAGUGUUAUCCGGAAUCACUGGGCGUAAAGCGUCUGUAGGUGGUUUAAUAAGUCAACUGUUAAAUCUUGAGGCUCAACUUCAAAAUCGCAGUCGAAACUAUUAGACUAGAGUAUAGUAGAGGUAAAGGGAAUUUCCAGUGGAGCGGUGAAAUGCGUAGAUAUUGGAAAGAACACCGAUGGCGAAAGCACUUUACUGGGCUAUUACUAACACUCAGAGACGAAAGCUAGGGUAGCAAAUGGGAUUAGAUACCCCAGUAGUCCUAGCCGUAAACUAUGGAUACUAGAUGUUGAACAGAUCGACCUGUGCAGUAUCAAAGCUAACGCGUUAAGUAUCCCGCCUGGGAAGUAUGCUCGCAAGAGUGAAACUCAAAUGAAUUGACGGA
rnacentral:rRNA from 1 species